rnacentral:rRNA from 1 species
GAAUAUUGGUCAAUGGUGGGAACACUGAACCAGCCAUCCCGCGUGCAGGAUGAAGGCCCUCUGGGUCGUAAACUGCUUUUACCAGGGAAGAAACGUGUGGGUUUACCUGCACCUGACGGUACCUGGGGAAUAAGCACCGGCUAACUCCGUGCCAGCCGCCGCGGUAAUACGGAGGGUGCAAGCGUUAUCCGGAAUCACUGGGUUUAAAGGGUGCGUAGGCGGCCUGAUAAGUCAGGGGUGAAAGCCCACGGCGCAACCGUGGAAUUGCCUUUGAUACUGUGAGGCUUGAAUCGGCGCGAGGCAGGCGGAAUGUGGCAUGUAGCGGUGAAAUGCUUAGAUAUGCCAUAGAACACCGAUUGCGAAGGCAGCUCGCCAGAGCCUUGAUUGACGCUGAGGCACGAAAGCGUGGGGAGCGAACAGG